CGGCAACAGCUCAAAUUUGAAAUCUGGCUCUUUCAGAGUCCGAGUUGUAAUUUGCAGAGGGUGCUUUGGUGGUAGUUGCGGUCUAAGUUCUUUGGAACAGAAUGUCACAGAGGGUGAGAAUCCCGUCUGGAGUUCGGACACGGCCUAUGUGAAGCUCCUUCGAC
rnacentral:rRNA from 1 species